AGAUCGAUGAUGGCCCCCUCACAGUGCAUUCCUUGGAAAAGCUGAACAAAAUGAGUGAGAACUCCCACCGUCGUUCUCAUCGGAUCUGAGGUCC